CUGAGUUGCUUAUCCUUACCUUUGCCAAGCCAGCCUGGUUGGUGGGCCUCCCUUCUGCUAUCAUGUCACCAUUGCACGGACCAGGACUGGACGGAAAGAUGCUGAUGAGCAUCCUGAAUAUGUCAUUAACGAGGAAGGCCUGUGCAAAGGGAUGCAUCUUGCCAAGUCCCCUCAAAGUGGCUCAUCACUUUGCUACUCGGUCGGACCACUAAUUUUGCCUCAUAAUGAGCCAUAACAGUGAAAUACAUCCAAAAGAAUGAAUAACCAGCUGCUGACUGAACAUUUAAAGUGACAUACAAUUAUUUUCUUCUGAGAAACUACUAGCAGUUCACAUAAUGGAUUUUCAAAGCCUUAUGUGGCCUAAGGUCACACUGAAUAGCUGACCAAUUCUGAACCUUCAUGCCUGGUGAACUUGCUGCUACUUUGUUUGAAAGUCAAAUCCAACAUGUCCUAAACAACCAACCUAAUUUAGUACCAAGUCUUCUAAGCUGAGACCUUGGAAGUGGACGCAGCCUGAAAUCCAAAUCCCAGAAGCGGAUGUGAAACAAUGGCACCAUUCAAUUUUUCUUAGUUUCACUGAGAGACCUAAGAGUGGCACUGUGACUUGGGUAGCUAACCCAAACACAGGGUUGCCAAGCUGCUCAUCCAGCAGUAGCUACCUUUUGUUCUUCUUGUUUGACCCUGAAAGCGACAUCAUGCUGCUGCAUUUUUCACAUCACAAUCAUUUCCCAGAUGUGAAGAUUAUUAAUUCCAUGCAGGAUUUCAGGUGAGGCGGGCUGUGAAAAUGCUCCAUUGCCAGAGGGUGGACAGAUACUAGAGCAGACAACCAACCAGCAGAGUCCCCUAUCUAAUCUGGAGGCCCAGUCGCAUGCACAAAUGCAAGGUAAAAAAUUAUACACAUGACAGGGAAUGCAGAAGACCCUAAUCCUGCAUUAAUAAGAGCACUAUGGUGUGUUUCCCCUGCCUUGUAGUAAGAUCCUAAGAUGGGAGUGUAUAAUAUAACUCAGUAUAUCACUUGCACUUAAGAGACUUGCAUUUAAGCCCAUAGCUCCUCCACACCCUGCAUGUUAUAUAUUCUGCAUUCUUGAGACUAAGGGAGUGGGCUUGGGAUUUAAUUCCAGUGAAUAUGAAGGACUAUGCACAUCAGAUCACCCUACCUGUGCUCAUGCAUAGCCUCCACUUACACUUGUGCUGCAGCCCAACAACUCUGCACAACCUGUAAGGACUUGGAGGACAGAGGCCGUUGUGUUACCACAGCUGACUCAAACCUGGACUCUGGUGUGGGUCUGUAUGGAGCAGCUAUAUGAAAUAAUCCAGAAUAAUUCAUUUUACCCUUGCCUGUGCUGGUAGAAGCUGGAACGAGAUAGUAUCCUCUGGAAGGUCACCCCACACUGGCCUUGCAUUCAGCUGGGAGUCACAUAUCUCUAGCUGAACAGGAAGGAGCUGUGUUAAACUGGUCUUUAUUGGAGAUCACCUUCCUGGUUGAGCUAUUAGGUGGUGUGCUGAACUCUAUCAGCUUGCUGGUAAGAAUUCUAUAUAGCUUGUCUCAGCUGGGAGUCGCCCUCUGCAGAUCUUAUACAGUAAUGGAGAAACUCCUUAUUAAAAAGUAAUUAUUUUCAGUAAUACCAAAGGAAAAACCUCUGGCCUGGUAAAAUUUCUAGAGUGGUUUUUCAACCCUGAGAUAGGGCUAAAAUCUAUAACUCUAAACUUGCAGAUUCAUCUGCUAUUGCCUUGUAAAAGUCCCAAGGAAUAGUGAAGAACAGUAACACGUAGCUUUCAUAUAGCCUUUUUUCAACAGUAGAUCACAAAGUGUUUUAUGAAGUAAGGUCAUUAUCAUUAUCCCCAUUUUACAAAUGGGGAAACUGAGGCUCAGGGAGGGAAAAUGAC